AGCAGCCGCGGUAAUUCCAGCUCCAAUAGCGUAUAUUAAAGUUGUUGCAGUUAAAAAGCUCGUAGUUGAAUUUCGGGAUUAGUGCGCCGGUCGUGCCUUCGGUAUGUACUGGUGUUACUGGUUCCUACCUUCUGACGAACCGUCAUGUCAUUAAUUUGGUGUGGCGGGGAAUCAGGACUGUUACUUUGAAAAAAUUAGAGUGUUUAAAGCAGGCUCGCGCUUGAAUACAUUAGCAUGGAAUAAUGAAAUAGGACGUUCGAUCCUAUUUUGUUGGUUUCUAGGAUUGACGUAAUGAUUAAUAGGGAUAGUUGGGGGCAUUAGUAUUCAAUUGUCAGAGGUGAAAUUCUUGGAUUUAUUGAAGACUAACUACUGCGAAAGCAUUUGCCAAGGAUGUUUUCAUUAAUCAAGAACGAAAGUUAGGGGAUCGAAGACGAUCAGAUACUGUCGUAGUCUUAACCAUAAACUAUGCCGACUAGGGAUCGGAUGAUGUUAUUUUUAAUGACUCAUUCGGCGCCUUACG
rnacentral:rRNA from 1 species